UACAGAGGUCCCGAGCGUUGUUCGGAUUCACUGGGCGUAAAGGGUGCGUAGGUGGUUGGGUAAGUCUGAUGUGAAAUCUCCGGGCUCAACCCGGAAAUGGCAUUGGAUACUAUUCGGCUAGAGGUUUGGAGGGGGGACUGGAAUUCUCGGUGUAGCAGUGAAAUGCGUAGAUAUCGAGAGGAACACCAGUGGCGAAGGCGGCGAUCUGGGUCGAUACUGACGCUGAGGUGCGAAAGCGUGGGGAGCAAACAGG
rnacentral:rRNA from 1 species